ACGAACGCUGGCGGCGUGCCUCAUACAUGCAGGUAGAACGCACAGUUUAUACCGUAGCUUGCUACACCAUAGACUGUGAGUUGCGAACGGGUGAGUAACGCGUAGGUAACCUGCCUGGUAGCGGGGGAUAACUAUUGGAAACGAUAGCUAAUACCGCAUAAUAUUAAUUAUUGCAUGAUAAUUAAUUGAAAGGUGCAAUUGCACCACUACCAGAUGGACCUGCGUUGUAUUAGCUAGUAGGUGAGGUAACGGCUCACCUAGGCGACGAUACAUAGCCGACCUGAGAGGGUGAUCGGCCACACUGGGACUGAGACACGGCCCAGACUCCUACGGGAGGCAGCAGUAGGGAAUCUUCGGCAAUGGACGAAAGUCUGACCGAGCAACGCCGCGUGAGUGAAGAAGGUUUUCGGAUCGUAAAGCUCUGUUGUAAGAGAAGAACGGGUGUGAGAGUGGAAAGUUCACACUGUGACGGUAUCUUACCAGAAAGGGACGGCUAACUACGUG
rnacentral:rRNA from 1 species